CGCAGACCCCACCAGGCAUACGGCGUGACUUUAUUUUUUUAAUCAUGAAUAAACAACUAACAGACGAGGAUAUAACUAGUUUAUUAUUCCAAGAGUUGAAUAAGGAAGACUUAGUUGCAUUUGAUUCAAGUGGAGAAGAGUUUGACGUUGCUCUAGAGCAGUGUUUCCCAAAGUGGGCGAUAACGCCCCCUUGUGGGCGCUGCAGGGUUAAAGGGGGGCAGUAAGAGACCCAGAAAAAAAAUCGGGACGUUGUGUAGAGGCUUGGGAGGCGUCAUCUACUAGGAGGACUCUUAGACACCGACUGAGCU